rnacentral:lncRNA from 1 species
GGGGCCAUGAGCAUGUGGGCAGGCCAGGAGUCCUUGCAACUCCUUGGACAGGACCUUACCUGCGAUGAAUACCGAGGCUUCACUCUCGGCGCCCUUGGCUCGGAAUGUAUACUUGCCCUCAUGCUCCGGGCCCAUGUUGGGGAAGAUGAGCUUGUGCACUGCACCCUGCUUCACGAUUUGCACACCCGGCAAGUCAGUGAUCUAGGGGACAAGGGGUGGGAGUGAGUGAGAGCGUGGGCCAGGUAGAUCUCCUUCGCCCCUUCCCUGACUCCUGCCUCCAACCUCCUUGCCAUCCUUCAGCCACACGCCUUCCACCUUCUCGUCAUUCAGCACUACGCACAGUUCUGCUGGGCUCCCGGUGGCAGCAUGAACGUCGGACAUCCCGCUCUUCACUGUGGCCAGGCGCUCUGGGAAGAAAGGGUCUGGACUGACUCAGGGGGAAGGAAUUCAUGGGAAAAUGGCUGAUGGUAUUGUAGUGGGAGCAGUUAGGGUUUAGGUGUCUUUCAAAAUCAUUUAUGAUGAACAGAUGGGUUGGCCUUGGUCUGUAGAUUGC